CCUGUACAGAGACUCAAUAUUUGUGGACAUUAACCAAACUGCAUCUACAGAGUCAGAGACUGACAAAGAAAAACACUUGAAGGACCAAGACAAAGUAAGAUUUCUUCAGUACAAUGGCAAGUGUGACCAGAUCCUUCUGACAAACAGCAGAAUGCAGUCUGUGGGGCUCCCCGUUGUCGGGUAGAGUCUUUCAAAAUGAACCGAGAUUAACAGGGAAGUCUGAUCUCACACAAUAAUCACAAAAUUUUCGGAAGACGCUGAUGUUUUGAAUGAGAACGAGAGAGGUUAUGUCAAGGAUCAAUUUGUAAUUGAAAGGAAAUUAAAUCAUACGCAUUCAUGUAAAACGUCUUCCUCGUAUUGCCCAUAUUGGCGGGCUUUUCAAAUCGGAAAGAAAACGGUUGAUGAUUUGGCGCCGGUAUUUUCCUACGGUUUCCACGCAGAGGAAUUUUGUUUUAUUUUCAAAUCUCCCCGGGCUUUGCAGAAAACAAUAAAUGAGGCUUUCUGCUGUCGGUGGGAAAAUUUCAAAGUGAGCCGAGAUGAAAGCAGAACAGCUGGCGGACUGGCAUCGCAAAAGUAGAAAUAUUGUUGAUCUUGUGCAAUAGGGAGCGCGAUUGUAAAAUAUUGUUUAAAGAAGUAUUGCGG